ACGGAAGGCAGCAGUAGGGAAUAUUGCGCAAUGGGGGAAACCCUGAUGCAGCAACGCCACGUGUGGGAAGAAGCAUUUCGGUGUGUAAACCACUGUCGUGAGGGAAUGAUGCAUUGUUUCGGCGAUGUUGAAUGUACCUCGAAAGGAAGCACCGGCAAACUUCGUGCCAGCAGCCGCGGUAAUACGAGGGGUGCAAGCGUUGUUCGGAAUCACUGGGCGUAAAGGGAGCGCAGGCGGAGAUGCAAGCGGACUGUACAAUCCCGGGGCCCAACCCCGGACCUGCGGUCCGGACUGCGCCUCUUGGAUAGUUCAGGGGCAAGCGGAAUUCCUGGUGUAGCGGUGGAAUGCGUAGAGAUCAGGAAGAACACCGAUGGCGAAGGCAGCUUGCUGGGGACUUAUCGACGCUCAUGCUCGAAAGUGCGGGUAGCAAACAGGAUUAGAUACCCUGGUA
rnacentral:rRNA from 1 species